rnacentral:misc_RNA from 1 species
UCGAAACCUGCCAUGCAGAAUGACCCGUGAACAAGUCAUCUACCCUGGUUGUGUUUAGUGUCGUCACAUUCACUUGCGCAACCUCACAGUCGGGUUGGAGGGAUUUAUUUCCUUCAAACUGGCCUAACAACGAACCCGGCGUUAAAAGCGCCAAGGAAAUGAAAUGAGUGACAACUAUCCUUGUUGUGUCGUCUAUUCGACCCAACAUCGAGGGUUGUGCCUCCACAAUGUCUAUAACGACUCUCGGCAACGGAUAUCUCGGCUCUCGCAUCGAUGAAGAACGUAGCGAAAUGCGAUACUUGGUGUGAAUUGCAGAAUCCCGUGAACCAUCGAGUCUUUGAACGCAAGUUGCGCCCAAAGCCUUCGGGCUGAGGGCACGUCUGCCUGGGUGUCACGCACUCGUUGCCCCCUCUCCAUCGUCUUUACAAGGUCGAUGAAUUGGGGGUGGAUUAUGGUCUCCCGUGUGCUCCCGCUCGCGGUUGGCCUAAAAUUGAGUCCUCGGCCUUGAGCGUCGUGACAUGCGGUGGUUGAAACAUGCCUUCGGAUAAACAUAUCACGUGCGCUCAAUGCUAAUUAUGUGAGACUUUGAGACCCUCUAUCAUCCUAAUGCGACCCCAGGUCAGGC